UACAGUUAGUGCAGGCCACCACUGUGUUUUGUACACUUUAAUAGCAAACUACCUUGUCUCACCUUUUAUCGCUCUUUCAUGACUACUCACCAGAUUACCAGACGCAAAUCUCCACCAUACUACAGUGGAGAGCUCUACCUGGAUAGUAGAAUACUAGCAUUGAUGUUUGCAUUCUAAAAGCUGUCUGUGUCUACUUAAAGGAAAAGCCAGAUGACCUAUUAAAGAAAUUCUUGCGUAGAGUUCCUCUUGGCCAUUAACUCUCUGUGUUAAGCUGUUUUCUGGCUUGUUGACUUUCACCUGUGCGUACACCGUACCCUGCUGCU